CCGGCACGGGUGAGUAACACGUAUCCAACCUGCCGUCUACUCUUGGCCAGCCUUCUGAAAGGAAGAUUAAUCCAGGAUGGCAUCAUGAGUUCACAUGUCCGCAUGAUUAAAGGUAUUUUCCGGUAGACGAUGGGGAUGCGUUCCAUUAGAUAGUAGGCGGGGUAACGGCCCACCUAGUCAACAAUGGAUAGGGGUUCUGAGAGGAAGGUCCCCCACAUUGGAACUGAGACACGGUCCAA
rnacentral:rRNA from 1 species